rnacentral:rRNA from 1 species
GUGGGGAAUCUUGCGCAAUGGGCGAAAGCCUGACGCAGCCAUGCCGCGUGAAUGAUGAAGGUCUUAGGAUUGUAAAAUUCUUUCACCGGGGACGAUAAUGACGGUACCCGGAGAAGAAGCUCCGGCUAACUUCGUGCCAGCAGCCGCGGUAAUACGAAGGGGGCUAGCGUUGCUCGGAAUUACUGGGCGUAAAGGGCGCGUAGGCGGACAGCUUAGUCAGAGGUGAAAGCCCAGGGCUCAACCUUGGAAUUGCCUUUGAUACUGGCUGUCUUGAGUACGGGAGAGGUGAGUGGAACUCCGAGUGUAGAGGUGAAAUUCGUAGAUAUUCGGAGGAACACCAGUGGCGAAGGCGGCUCACUGGCUCGAUACUGACGCUGAGGUGCGAAAGCGUGGGGAGCAAACAGGAUUAGAAACCCGUGUAGUCC